rnacentral:rRNA from 1 species
AUGUACGGCAAUAGCCUCUAGACAGCUCGGGAUCCCGUCUUCUCUCCUGGCGAUAAUCUAGAGAGCGCCAAAUUAGUAUUAACCGGGUCGUUGACGACCGCGGAAUUCUUGGUGCUGUGCGUU